UACGAAGGGGGCUAGCGUUGCUCGGAAUCACUGGGCGUAAAGGGCGCGUAGGCGGCGUUUUAAGUCGGGGGUGAAAGCCUGUGGCUCAACCACAGAAUGGCCUUCGAUACUGGGGCGCUUGAGUAUGGUAGAGGUUGGUGGAACUGCGAGUGUAGAGGUGAAAUUCGUAGAUAUUCGCAAGAACACCGGUGGCGAAGGCGGCCUGCUGGGCAGUAGCUGACGCUGAGGCGCGACAGCGUGGGGAGCAAACAGG
rnacentral:rRNA from 1 species